GAUCCCCUGGCGCAAUUGGCUAGCGCGUCUGAUUCCAAAAAAGGAAAUUAUCAGGAGGCUGUGUGUUCAAGUCACACGGGGGUCA